rnacentral:snoRNA from 1 species
AGCACUUUGUUUGUUCAACUGGUAGACAAAUGCAUGAAAAACAUGUGCAAAAUUAAAUCUCUGGCAACCCAGAACUCUUUGUUCAGGAUGAGUUUUGAUAUAUACAAGAAGGAAUAUG